rnacentral:lncRNA from 1 species
CAAACAUUAUAUGUUCUCAUUCAUUUGGGGAAUAUAAAUAAUAGUGAAAGGGAAUAGAAGGGAAGGGAGAAGAAAUGGGUAGGAAAUAUCAGAAAGGGAGACAGAACAUAAAGACUCCUAACUCUGGGAAACGAAGUAGGGGUGGUGGAAGGGGAGGAGGGAGGGGGGUGGGGGUGAAUGGGUGAUGGGCACUGAGGGGGGCACUUGAUGGGAUGAGCACUGAGUGUCAUUCUGUAUGUUGUCAAAUUGAACGCCAAUAAAAAUAAAUUUAUUAUUAAAAAAAUAAAAUAAAAUUACUGUGAAAUCUAUUGAUAGAAAAAGAAUCACUGUCUUUUGUGCAUGGCAUAAUAGCUGUUUUCAUAUAAAAAACAGAUGUGUCUAAAUCAGAGACUGAAUAGGUAUGCCCAUAUCAUCUGCCUAGAUAACUCUCUGGGGAAAACAGCUCCUUGGAGGGGAAUCCCAGACCCUGACAGGAAAUCUGCUCAGAAACUCCAUGUGCACCUGCUCCUGGGCCUUCAAGACAGAAGUGGUGAGGAUUGUGCACCCCCUGGUAGUCCUGAUCCCCUUAACAGAGAGGUUUGUGUCUGGGCUCACACUGAGUUCGACUCACUGUGUCCUUCGCACAGUAAUACACGGCUGUGUCCUCGGAUCUCAGGCUGUUCAUCUGCAGAUACAGUGUGUUCCUGGCGUUGUCUCUGGAGAUGGUGAAUCGGCCCUUCACAGCGUCUGCAUAGUAUGUGCCACUGUUAAUGUAUGCGACCCACUGCAGCCCCUUCCCUGGAGCCUGGCGGACCCAGCUCAUGAUGUAGCUACUGAGGGUGAAUCCAGAAGCCACACAGGAGAGUCUCAGGGACCCACAAGGCUUCACCAGGUCUCCCCCAGACUCCACCAGCUGCUCCUCACCCUGGACACCUGCAGACACAAGACAUCCCGGUCAGGAAACGGUCCCACAUCCCCUCUUUUGCUCACUCAUCUCCACUCACAGAUUCAAGGUCCCUUGUUCUCCAUGAAUUACCUUUUAAAAUAGCGAUGAGGAAAACCCAGCCAAGCAUAGACUCCAUCAUGGGUUGUCUGUUGUGUCAUGAGCCUUGAAUGGGACCGCCUCUGUAUCCUGGGGCUGGGGCUCUUCUCCAGCUUUAGGGUCAGGACUUGGCUGGUUUAAUCAGUGAAAGGGAGGGCCUUAUUUGCUUGUCCUCUGACUAUAUAGUCAGCUCCAGUCUUAGAUUCAAUUCUUUACAAGUUAUAUACAAGCAUUACUUCACAAUGGUAGAUCACAUUCUUUUGUUGGUACAGUGAUUUUAUGAACUUCUAAUCCAUCAAAGUAUUUAUGUUUGCGUUUCUGUGCCUUUUGAAAGUCUCUCAUUUAUAUAGUUCAUUUUAAAGAGGAUUUUCUCUCCUUAAACAAGUGUAGUCAUAAAUAUUUAUUUGUAAUACCAGUGUAAAGGAGAAGGUUUUGUAUAUUUUAUACAGAAAUUUAGUUGUUAGUGUGUAGAAAUUAACUUUAUGGUCUAUUUUAUUUGAUAUCCAGAAUUUUCCCUGAGUUCAUUACUUACUUUUAAGUGUAUUUUUGGAAUUAUUUUGCUCACUGACAUUGUAUAUGUAAACAAAUUAUUUUAUUCCUGUUGAAUGAUUUUAAAGUCUUUUAGUUUAUUAUUGCCUAAUUUCU